rnacentral:sRNA from 14 species
UUGACAGCCUGGAGACUGAAGCCCUUUGUCUGUCUACAGAACAGGUACAGCCUGGGCAGCAGCAGUGCUAGCUUCCACCCUUUCCCCACCACCGUGCCUCAGCCCUGACCUGGAAGAACCACCUCUAGAGGUGAGAGGGGAACUCAGCCUCUUCAAGACUGCCAGCAAGGGGGCCAGU